GACGAGGGGUCCUAGCGUUGUUCGGAAUCACUGGGCGUAAAGCGUUUGUAGGCGGCUCUAUAAGUCGGGUGUGAAAUCCCACGGCUCAACCGUGGAAGUGCAUUCGAAACUGCGAGAGCUUGAAUAUGGUAGAGGACAGUAGAAUUGCUGGUGUAGUGGUGAAAUACGUAGAUAUCAGCAGGAAUACCGGUGGCGAAGGCGGCAUCCUGGACCGGUAUUGACGCUGAGGCGCGAAAGCCAGGGGAGCAAACGGG
rnacentral:rRNA from 1 species